CCUGCCCCAGAGACAUUGCAAGUGUGGCUGCUGUACCACUUGUUGUCGCUAGGUGGCAGAGAGGAGAGGGGAUAUGAAUACGCUUAGUGUUCACUAAGAACAUCUGAAUGAUUAGUAGCCUAACAUU